rfam:Triticum aestivum genome assembly, contig: Triticum_aestivum_CS42_TGACv1_scaffold_499736_6BL
AAUAUACUCCCUCCGUUCGAAAGUUACUUGUCUCGGAAAUGGAUGUAUCUAGAUGUAUUUCACUUUUAAAUACAUCCAUUUUCGAGACAAGUAAUUCCGAACGGAGGGAGUAUAUA